CCUACGGGAGGCAGCAGUGGGGGAUAUUGCACAAUGGGGGAAACCCUGAUGCAGCGACGCCGCGUGGGCGAAGAAGUAUUUCGGUAUGUAAAGCCCUAUCAGCAGGGAAGAAGAAGUGACGGUACCUGAGUAAGAAGCACCGGCUAAAUACGUGCCAGCAGCCGCGGUAAUACGUAGGGUGCAAGCGUUAUCCGGAUUGACUGGGUGUAAAGGGAGUGCAGGCGGCACGGCAAGCCUGAUGUGAAAGCCCGGGGCCCAACCGGGGAACUGCAUUGGGAACUACCGGGCUGGAGUGACGGAGAGGUAGGCGGAAUUCCUAGUGUAGCGGUGAAAUGCGGAGAUAUUAGGAGGAACACCAGUGGCGAAGGCGGCCAACUGGACGGAGACUGACGCUGAGGCUCGAAAGCGUGGGGAGCAAACAGGAUUAGAUACCCGAGUAGUC
rnacentral:rRNA from 1 species